UGCUAUCAUCAAUGGGCACCAUAUGCUGCUCCAGCACGGCUCCAAUGGCCGUGCAGCCCCAGGGCGCGGGCUGCACAUGUGCUCCAGGCACUGAGGUAAUCAGAAAUACGCUAUGGGAGUCCCAUAAAGGAAGUUAUUAAGUUCCAUGGCUCCAGUUGUUCCACUUGAUACACCACCAGAUAUCGCAGUAAAUCGGCCUUAAAACCCGUAGGACUCUCACCAGCUGUUGGCUCUGCAUCCUCUGUCAACGCGGGCAGCAAGGGACUCAUCCACAAGCUCUGAGUGCAAUUGUGCCAAUCGAACAUAGUUAAAUUCGCCGUGCAGAUGACAAUACGCAUUGUUCCAUCCGCAUAGCCAAGCAGCAUUAUUUUUGAAUGUGAUACUGCAUAUUCUGGUGGCAUUUUAAUGCGAAUUGCAUUAACAUUUGACUUAACUUUGUUAAUCUCAUCCAAAUCCGGAUCUGCAUCGCCAUACAACACAAGCAAUGUAUGCCCGCUUUAUGAUAGAAAGUCAAUAGCCAAUCGAUUUCAAUUAGAAAAUUAAUUUGAACACUGGUCUCGAUCUCACCCAGACUUUCAUCGAAUAUCUCUUGCAUAGUUAUGCUUAACGGCUCAUCGUGUGUAGGUUUCGAGUCUCUGAUCGCGGUGAGAUCAUGUUGUAUGGAGCAGCACGUUUCAAUUUCUCAGCCAUGGCACCCGGCUUCACUGUAUCAUACAUACAUUCGGAAAGAUCAAGCUUGUCCUGCGUUAAAUCGUUCAGAAAUUCGCCGAUAGACUGCUUUAGACUCUCAGUACUCAUUUUGCUGUUGGAAAAAAAGGUAAAGAAAUGUAUUCAUUAUGUUGUUUAGUUAUUAUUGGGAUUUUAAUUACUUUUCCAAUAAUUAAAGUGUGCCUUGCAUGAGAUACGGUUUAAUAAGGGAUUAACAAUAGAUUAAAACUAAAGAAAAUGAUCUAACUUUUCAACUAGUCAUCCAAGUACCUUAUCUAAUCGUUGUAAUAAUUAAUGAAAUGACUCAGAAUGGGUUCCAUGUUUAUAUUCAUUAAUAAACAUAACAAUUGCGAUUUACCGAUUUAGAUAUAGUUAAUAAAUUCUUUUCGGUUAUUGAGUCAUAUUUGUAUGCAUAUGUACAUUAUAAAAAUAUGCUUUGUAUAAUGCACAUACUAUAUACUAUGUAUAUAAACAUACCUAUGCAUGUAGAGAUUGUACAAAUUAUUUGUGUUACAUUAUUAUACAUAUAUUUUACAUAAAAAUCUCUUAACAUACCUGUAUUUUUAACGGAUUCGGAAUAUUUAUUGUGAUAUACUUAAUAACAAAUUAAUGCGCAAUUGGAAUAUCUGUUGUG